GACAGAGGGUGCAAACGUUGCUCGGAAUUACUGGGCGUAAAGCGCGUGUAGGCGGGCCGGAAAGUCGGGCGUGAAAUCCCUGGGCUCAACCCAGGAACUGCACUCGAAACUUCCGGUCUAGAGUGGUGGAGAGGGAAGUGGAAUUCCCGGUGUAGUGGUGAAAUGCGUAGAUAUCGGGAGGAACACCAGUGGCGAAGGCGACUUCCUGGCCUGUUCUUGACGCUGAGGCGCGAAAGCUAGGGUAGCAAACGGG
rnacentral:rRNA from 1 species